CUUCUCACGCCACCCCACCAGCGAGGAGGCUGGGGGUGCAGGAGGAGUUGGGAGGGGACACAGCCAGGACAGCUGACUCCAAUUGACCAGAGGGAUAACCCACACCAUAUGGCAUCAUGAUCAGCUUAUAAAUCUCAGAAAGGAGAAGUAAAGGCAGGGAAGUUUGGAAUGAUAGUGUUUAUCUUCCCAAGUCGCCAUCACCCAUGAUGGAGCCCUGCUUUCCUGGAGAUGGCUUAACAUCUGCUUGCCCACAGGAAGUGGUGAAUUAAUGCCUUGUUUUACUUUGCUUGUAUGUGUGGUUCUUACUUUAUCUAUUAAACUGUCUUUAUCUCAACUGUAGCGUUUUCUCAUUUUUACUCUUUUUAGUUCUUCUUCCACACCACCAGGGGGGAGUGAGUGAGAAGCUGGAUGGCGCUUAGUUGACAGCUUGGGUUAAACUGCAGCAUAUUAUACCUGGAAGAAAAAUUCUUGAGUGAGAUCUUUAUUCUACUGACAUCAAAGGCGGAUCUUACAUCUCAUGCCGAAAGAAUCUGAUGUAUGUCUCCAUUCUUGCCACAUAGAAGAACCUGAAUUUAGAAGCUCAGUAUUACAUCUGGGUCUUGACAGGAUGCCUUGUUACACAGAGGCUUUCGCAGACUCCUGUGUAACCCCUGUAAAGUUUCAGAGGAAUGGAGCUUUAACGUGA
rnacentral:lncRNA from 14 species